rnacentral:lncRNA from 1 species
CCAAGCGGUUCGGUUUCCAGAAGCAUGACUUCCCUUUUCUCCCCGUGCUCUUCCCAGCCAAUGCGAGCAAUGGAGUCCUCAAGGCAGGAGACAUCGGGAGCCUGUGUGAGGGGCUGAAUGCCUGCAGCACCAUCUCUCAGCUCCAGACCUCGUCCAAAAUCGCGAGGGUAAGUGGACCCAGAAAGGAGUGGGGGGAUCAGGCUUUGCAUGUGAGCAAACACCAGGAGGAGAAGCUGAGAGAAGGCUCGACCACCUGAUGUAUAAAUAGCAGGGUACGGGCGGCAGGCGUGUCGUGACGGCCGCCUGAAUGACCGGCAAGCUGCUGAACUAAGAAUGCCCUCGAGACUGCGUUCUCUUUUGAAGAGCUGCCGCAGAGCAGUGAUGGGAUCUCUCCUGCUUCUCAUUUCUGUACAGAUGGUUUGCAGCAGCUUCCCCCUGGAACACACUGUGGACUUCAUGACGGCCAUCAGGGAGACCUUCCGGGAAGCCAAAGGGAUGCGUGCGCGUGCUGCAGGGAAGUGGAUGAUCACCUUCCUGCAGAUGUACGAAAAGGACCUCCACUGGGACGUGCCAACGAUUCUCUACAUCCUGCGCAGCUGCGUGCGCUCCAUGCAGCAGAGCGUGUUUCUUCCCAUCCUGUGCCAGGCGGUGGUCAUCCUCACACGCUGUCACUCAGAGCUCACGAUUGACAACUUCUUCCAGCUGUUUGAGCCCACAGACAGGUAUGGGCACUACUGCCUCUGCUGUUGCUGCGGUCACAGUUGUAGCUUGCCUCCGCCAGAGGGAUCCUGGGAGGAAGCAGCUGUUCCUUUUUCCUCUCAGAGUCUGUCUGGGGCAAAAACUACUCAGCCACAACUUGAGACUCUCCUUUUUCUAGUGACACGUGGAGGAGAAGAAUAAGAGCAUUUUGUCUUCGAGCCGGCAGAGGACUGAAAAGAACAGGAAAGCCGUGCUAAAAAAUGUGUAUUAUUUAUUAAAAAUGCCAGAAUCCAGGCUAACAAGUGACAAGAGUAUUUUUUUACCAAGUCUUCAUUUUAAUA